rnacentral:rRNA from 1 species
GACGUAGGGCGCAAGCGUUGUUCGGAAUUAUUGGGCGUAAAGAGCUUGUAGGCGGUUUGUCGCGUCUGCCGUGAAAAUCCGGGGCUCAACCCCGGACUUGCGGUGGGUACGGGCAGACUAGAGUGUGGUAGGGGAGACUGGAAUUCCUGGUGUAGCGGUGAAAUGCGCAGAUAUCAGGAGGAACACCGAUGGCGAAGGCAGGUCUCUGGGCCACUACUGACGCUGAGAAGCGAAAGCGUGGGGAGCGAACAGG